AUGGAGCAUGUUAUCUUUACAGAGGGAAAAAGAUCACAGUUCUGGUUUUUGACUGCACAUAGUGAAGAGAUGAACAUCUCCAGUGAGAUCUUCACCACUGAUGAGUCAAAUUCUUCCAGUUACUUAUAUCACAAUGGCACCAAGGUGGAAGAUAAUUUUAGUGUGUUCUCAGUACUGUAUCUCCUCAGUGCACUUCUGGGUUUUCUUAUCAACUCUCAUGUGAUUUGGUUAAUAGUAACAGGAGCAGGGAAUGGACUUGCAGCAGAGUUCUUCAAUCUCAUUCUUGCCGUCUGUGAGGUCCUCAUAUGUGUGCAGUAUGUUUUUAUAUUUCUCUCUUAUGAAUUUGAAAAUCUCUGGAUAGUUGUGAGUUUUUUGGAUGGAUUCUGCAUCACUGGUCGUCCCCUGUUUCAGUGUCUGAUAUGUGUUGAGCGUUACCUGGCAGUGGUUCACCCUGUAACCUUUCUGAAGUUCAAACCUCUCAGAUACAGAGUGAUUUGUUCCUUUAUUGCCUGCAUGGCAAGUUUUGUCUCUGGUGGUGUCAAUAUAAUGUUUUUAAUGCUUGAGUUCAUGUUGCACUUCCUUGUUUCUUUGUUUGUCCAGUUCUUCCUCUUCCUCUCUUUUCAGUUAUUCUGCUGUGUGGCUGUUCUCAGAGCUCUGAAGCAGUCAGGACCAGGAGAGAGAGGGAGAGAGAAAGAGGAAGAAAGCCCCAUGAAGAGGAGAGCAUUUUAUCUCAUUCUAAUAUCUACUGUUGCUAUGCUUAUUUUACAUGCUCCCUAUAUAGUUUUAGUAUUUUAUUUUGGGUCAUCGGAAACUGACACAUCCUAUCUUAUUGUUUCAGUUUGUUUUAUUUUGGCUGGUUUGGUGAACCCUCUUCUCUUUUUUUACCGCGUAGGAAAACUGCCCUUUAACAAAUAUUAAUAAAUCUACUUUAAUCAUUAUUAUGAAUCUGUAUAAUCUGUUAGAAACAGAAAGUUAUGUAAUGUUGAUUUCUAAAAAACAAAAAAAAACAAAAAAUUGUGUUGUUAUUGAUCGUGUUUGGUUUAAAAUGCAACUUUGGUGUCUCCAUCUUGUGUCCUGUUGGGUCAUGUUUGUUGUAUAUACAACUAUGAUGGAUGUAACUUUACUUUUUAUUAUGUAAAUGUAAUAAAAUAUGGU
ensembl:lncRNA